rnacentral:rRNA from 1 species
GAGAGUUUGAUCCUGGCUCAGAUUGAACGCUGGCGGCAGGCCUAACACAUGCAAGUCGAGCGGAUGAAGGGAGCUUGCUCCUGGAUUCAGCGGCGGACGGGUGAGUAAUGCCUAGGAAUCUGCCUGGUAGUGGGGGAUAACGUCCGGAAACGGGCGCUAAUACCGCAUACGUCCUGAGGGAGAAAGUGGGGGAUCUUCGGACCUCACGCUAUCAGAUGAGCCUAGGUCGGAUUAGCUAGUUGGUGGGGUAAAGGCCUACCAAGGCGACGAUCCGUAACUGGUCUGAGAGGAUGAUCAGUCACACUGGAACUGAGACACGGUCCAGACUCCUACGGGAGGCAGCAGUGGGGAAUAUUGGACAAUGGGCGAAAGCCUGAUCCAGCCAUGCCGCGUGUGUGAAGAAGGUCUUCGGAUUGUAAAGCACUUUAAGUUGGGAGGAAGGGCAGUAAGUUAAUACCUUGCUGUUUUGACGUUACCAACAGAAUAAGCACCGGCUAACUUCGUGCCAG